CUUCUUUCCCUCUUCUACCCUCAACUAUUUCUCUAUCUCUAUCUCUCAAAUAAUCUUCAUAUUCCCCAAUAAUCUUCAUCUUCCCCAAUAAAGUCUUCAACUAUCACCUCCAGCGGCCAUGGCGGUGGUGGAUGUUAAUGGUGGAAACACGAUAAAUACAGCAACUGAAAAGAAUACCCAAAUAAAUAAACCUAAAAAUAACCCUGUGUGUGAGAGAAAUGCUUCAUCUUCAUCUCCUUGUCUCUGAAAAUAAUAAUAAUACCAAAGAGGUUUUAAUGUCUACCCACCACCUCUAAAUCAAACUUUGUUUCUUGUGCUUUCAAAUCACACCUUUUUGUUUCUUCAUUUCUCAUUUCAAUCUUUCUUACCCAAAUCCCCAUUUUCAUUUUCCUUAAUUCCCACCAAGUUCUUGAUUUAUUCUAUGUUUCUUGAAACUUCAGAUCUAUAAAACCUGUAUUCUCUUUCAGUCAUUUCCCCUGUUUCCUUUUUUUAUUUUCUUUGUUUGUUUGAGCUUGAAAAGAUAAGUAAAGAAGAGUUUGUCAAGACUCAGACUUGUUCUUUGAAGGUGAACAUCCACAUCCACUGUGAUGGGUGUAAGAGGAAAGUGAAGAAAAUUCUACAGAAAGUUGAGGGGGUUUACUCCGUUAACAGAGUAAAGAAGAACGGAGAAAGAGAAAAAUAUAUUAUAUAUUUUUGAGAAAAAUGCCCGGAUAGUCCCUGUGGUUUCGCCUUUUUUCACCUAUAGUCCCCAACUUUCUAAAAUUACCUGAAUAGUCCCCAAGUUUUUAAUUUUCGUUCCCGGAUAGUCCCUGGCGUGGAUGGAGGUUACUUUUCUCAGUUAAGUUGAUGUGAAAUUACAAAAAUACCCUUAGUGUUAAAUUAAUACUACAAAGUUAAAAAAGAUAUGCUUAAUAGUUUGAGAUUUAUAUGAGACCCACCCACUUCAUCUUCUUCACUACACCUACAGAACCUGAACCUAAUUAUGUGCAAUCAUCAACUUCAAACCUGCAACCCUAACUCCACCAAUAAUGGCGUUUUUCGAUCUCAACAUCCCCUAAACCGAUUCACCAAACCAAACCUCCACUAACAACAAAUCCAAAACUGAAACCCUAAAUAACUGUAAAAUCCAAGCAGAUUGCAAACCGGAGAAAAAAAGAUAAACCUCAGAAUCGGUUUAAUGACUGUUGAAUACCAAAUCGCAGAUUGCAAACCAGAGAAAAAGAGAUAAACCUCUGCAGAUUUCUUUGGUAACAUCAACAAAUCAAAUUCCAAAUCCGUUUCAAUCAAAAUCGAAAUUUGCGAUUAGAUUAACAGAGGAAACAAAGAAUGACACACCAAAACAGGUAUAUAUGUCCGGCACUAGCUGUUCCUCAAGAGAAGCCAUAAUACUUGAAGAGUGGUCAACCCAAAGACAGGAUUGAGUGACGAAUGCAGCACAGACUAAACCACAGCUUGAUUUUGAUUUUGGGGUCCCAGACCCAUUGUUAUGUAUCAUAAAUAUGUUGACAUCAGAUGUGGUGGAUCAUUGCAGAUCCAUCUUAUGGUCUUGUUUUUUUGGGGAUAAUAAACAUGGAGUAUGAACAUUAUCAAGAUUUAAUGGUUUGCUUUUA